AUUGAACGCUGGCGGCAUGCUUUACACAUGCAAGUCGAACGGCAGCACGAAAGAGCUUGCUCUUUUGGUGGCGAGUGGCGAACGGGUGAGUAAUGCAUCGGAACGUACCGAGUAAUGGGGGAUAACUGUCCGAAAGGAUAGCUAAUACCGCAUACGCUUUGAGAAGGAAAGUGGGGGCUCUUCGGACCUCACGUUAUUCGAGCGGCCGAUGUCUGAUUAGCUAGUUGGUGGGGUAAAGGCCUACCAAGGCGACGAUCAGUAGCGGGUCUGAGAGGAUGAUCCGCCACACUGGGACUGAGACACGGCCCAGACUCCUACGGGAGGCAGCAGUGGGGAAUUUUGGACAAUGGGCGCAAGCCUGAUCCAGCCAUGCCGCGUGUCUGAAGAAGGCCUUCGGGUUGUAAAGGACUUUUGUUAGGGAGGAAAAGGAUAGUGUUAAUACCAUUAUCUGCUGACGGUACCUAAAGAAUAAGCACCGGCUAACUACGU
rnacentral:rRNA from 1 species